UGUGUAGGCGGUUGUUUAAGUUUGGUGUGAAAUCUCCCGGCUUAACUGGGAGGGUGCGCCGAAUACUGAAUGACUUGGAGUGCGGGAGAGGAGAGUGGAAUUCCUGGUGUAGCGGUGAAAUGCGUAGAUAUCAGGAGGAACACCGGCGGUGUAGACGGCUCUCUGGACCGUAACUGACGCUGAAACACGAAAGCGUGGGUAGCAAACAGGAUUAGAUACCCUGGUAGUCCACGCCCUAAACGAUGCAUAUUUGGUGUGGGCAGUUCAUUCUGUCCGUGCCGGAGCUAACGCGUUAAAUAUGCCGCCUGGGGAGUACAGUCGCAAGGCUGAA
rnacentral:rRNA from 1 species